rnacentral:rRNA from 1 species
GACGAACGCUGGCGGCGUGCCUAAUACAUGCAAGUAGAACGCUGAAGGAGGAGCUUGCUUCUCUGGAUGAGUUGCGAACGGGUGAGUAACGCGUAGGUAACCUGCCUGGUAGCGGGGGAUAACUAUUGGAAACGAUAGCUAAUACCGCAUAAGAGUAGAUGUUGCAUGACAUUUUCUUAAAAGGUGCAAUUGCAUCACUACCAGAUGGACCUGCGUUGUAUUAGCUAGUUGGUGGGGUAACGGCUUACCAAGGCGACGAUACAUAGCCGACCUGAGAGGGUGAUCGGCCACACUGGGACUGAGACACGGCCCAGACUCCUACGGGAGGCAGCAGUAGGGAAUCUUCGGCAAUGGACGGAAGUCUGACCGAGCAACGCCGCGUGAGUGAAGAAGGUUUUCGGAUCGUAAAGCUCUGUUGUAAGAGAAGAACGAGUGUGAGAGUGGAAAGUUCACACUGUGACGGCAUCUUACCAGAAAGGGACGGCUAACUACGUG